AAUGGAGGGGUGGAGGCGGGGCAGGUUGCGGCGGAGGAUGAGGAUACAAUUGCGACUGCGCGGCUCAGUCUGGACCGGGCCAAACCAGGCCAAACCAGACCAGCCCGGGCCGGGGCCAGGGCGCCUAAGGACUCUCGUUCGUGAAACAAACAACCUGACUGGAUCGGAAGAUAUGGCUCGUGGACAGCAGAAGAUUCAGUCUCAGCAGAAAAAUGCCAAAAAACAAGCUGGACAAAAAAAGAAACAAGGACAUGAUCAGAAGGCUGCUGCUAAGGCUGCCUUGAUAUAUACCUGCACUGUCUGUAGGACACAAAUGCCGGACCCCAAGACCUUCAAACAGCACUUUGAGAGCAAACAUCCUAAGACUCCACUUCCUCCAGAAUUGGCUGAUGUUCAGGCAUAAAGUUGUUUACAGCCAAAAAAAUAAAAGAAAGGGGAAGCUGAUCAGCCCUGAUCCUGGAAUGGAAAAGAUAAAUCAGCUUGAAGAGAAUAGUUAAUACAACAACCGUAUUUUGAGAGACUUUGCUCCCAGAAAUGAUGCAGGCUAAUGUGGGUGAGCAGGAUUAUGCAGGUGAAUUCAUGGCACCUAUUGACUCUUCUACUAUCUCAGACCUUAGGUAACAAACCUGCAGCUGCUUUUCUAACAAACUGUUGAUCAGCAAAAAUAAAGGGGCUACAGAAACUCAUUUUUAUGCUGUUCCCUUUUGGGCUUCAUGCAAAGACAAUUCUGUGUAAAUGUACAGUUGGGCCUUGAUUUGGAAAUUCUGAAAAUCAGUCCAUCCUUGUUAUAAAAAUUUUUUUACAAUUGUAAUUAUAUUGAUGUUCAUAUUGUGUAAAAUAACUCAUUUAAUAAAGUAGUACUUUGAUUUUACAACAUCACAGGAUAAAUGCUUGUAGAAGUUCUGUUCCACCUUUACGCAUCUGCCUUAAAAUCUAAUGAAGACAUCAGCUAGAGUUGCAAAUGCUUUAUCUCUUACCCCUUUCCCAUCAAGUUUAUUGGCUAUUCAAACUAAAGCAGAAUCAUUAGUACAUGUAUUCUAUUGCAUUACUUUAGGUAGACGGCUAAUGAAACAAAAGAAGCAUUGAUUAACUGCUUUCAUAUACUUGAUAAAUAUUUUAGUUUGUGGGUUUGUUUAGUAAAACUCCUUAAGAAUUAUGUGCCAUUUCCCUUUCUCUAGUUGUGCUUGUAUUGGAUGUACCACUACUGAAAACAACCUGGGAUAGGUUGUGAGAAGGGAAUUGCAAAUUUUGAUAAAAAUAAUCAUCUUGUUGACCCUGAAUGGGAUAUAAAUAAUUGGUUUAUGAACAGCUUACAAGUAUUUGGUAAAUGAUUGAAGGAAUUGAAUUUUCCUUGUGAAAAAUAAGGUAUGAAGUCUGCCAUAGUGGGUGAAAAAUUAUUUAACCAUUUUACAUAAGAGUAAGCUUGGAAAAUUUAUUACUAUAAGUUGGUUUGUCUUUGUUUUAUAAUAUGUCAGUUUCUUUCAGAAUUUUUCUAGAUAGUUUUAAAUUGAAAAUUAUUCUGAAAGGAUUCUUUUAAAAAUUUGCCAAAGUAAUUAGAACAGGAAUUAAUUUAAAUGGACCAGUUUUAUGACUAGUAAAUGUCAUGAACAGGAAGAAAGGGAAUGGCAGACUUGAGCUAAGUACCCAUAUUGGUGUCAUUGACUUUAAGAGUAUAUUUUAAUCUUUUUAAACUCUUAAAGACCAUACACAUUGGGUUUGGGUUUAAGGUCUUAGACUAGUUUUAAAUCCACAUACUUAUUAUAUAGGUAUGUUAAAGGUAUUUGUGGAGAAGAGAAUUUAAAUGAAGUAAAACCCUACCAGCUGAAGAGAGGCAAUGUUUAGAAGUGGAUCCUCAACAAUUUAUUUUAAUCAGAACUAAAAGAUUAAGUUUGUUAAUACUGUAUUUUAACGGAUUUUUUAAAUGAAGAUAGGGAGAAUAGUAUUCAAACAUAAACUUUUAGGGAGUAGCACACACUGGUAGCAGCUGGCUCUUACACCAGAUUCUGUCCUUUAUCUAAUUGUCACUGUAAAUUCUUUCUAUGGUUUUGCAUCAUCCACCACAUUGUAUGUAUUACUGUUUAAAAUGAGGUUUUAAGGAAAAGAUCUUAUGGAGAUAGUGGGUGAGAAAAUUCUUACUCUUUACCUGACCAAAAGAAAACCUUUUAAUACCCUUUUCCAUUCCCUAAAUGUUACAUGACUUGGUUAUAUGGUAUCCUAACAUUGAUUCACCAGAAGGUUAAAAUUCUGCCUUUUAAUUCAUGUGCUAGGUAUUAUUCUGGUUAAUUUCAGUUAAAAGGAAGUAUUUGAAUAUGUAUGUUUUUUCAAUGUUUAGUGAAGUUUUUCCAUUUAAAAAGAAUUAUCUUUGAAUUUCUUUUUUUCUUUCAGUUGCCUUACUAAUUGUAUAAUUUUUUAAUAAAAGAUUUUUAUGUUUGUAUUCAGUUCAUUAUGAGAAGCUAAAGAACCACAUUUAAAGCUGUAUCACAGUGAUAGGAAAAAUAACAUUUAUCUUGCAUAAAACCGUUAAUUCUCAAACUUAAUAUGUGAAUUGUUCUAUCAGCUACUCUUUUUUUUUUUUUGGUUGUCAUGUGUGAGUUAAAUCUUCAGCAGGGGAAAAUCUUUUACGUUUCAGAGCCCUAACUGAAUAUUUUUGUAAUUUGAAGAUUCUAUAACAGAUCUAAUUGUUAUGCUGUCUUCAAAAGACUUAAUAAAAUAUAUUGAGGGAGAAUUUUUUUUCAUUUAUAAGGAGAUAUCAGUUGCUGAAGGGACUGGGGUUAAUAGUAAAUUUGUUUCCACUCUUUCAUAUGACUAUACCCCCUGUUAAUUAACACACUGGAGGCUCAGUUGUGUGCUGUAAUGUCUUAUUAAAGAAAAUAUUAAAGAAAAA